GGGGGGGGGGGGGGGGGGGGUGGGGGGGGGCGGGGGGGACGGGAGGGGCCUGCUUGUGUGGGGUGCUGGGGUGGCGAACGGGUGAGUAACCCGUGAGUCACCUGCCGUUGACUUUGGGCUUACUUCAGGAAGCUGGGGCUGAUACCGGCUCGGCGGUCCUGCUGCAUGGUGGGGGUUGGAACGUUUCGGCGGUUGGGGAUGGACUCGCGGCUUAUCAGCUUGUUGGUGGGGUAGUGGAUUACCAAGGCUUUGACGGGUAGCCGGCCUGAUCGGGUGACCGGCCACAUGGGGACGGAGAUACGGCCAAGACUCCUACGGGAGGCAGCAGUGGGGAAUAGUGCACAAGGGGCGGAAGCCUGAUGCAGCAACGCCGCGUGCGGGAUGACGGCCUUCGGGUUGUAAACCGCUUUCGCCUGUGACGAAGCGUGAGUGACGGCAAUGGGUGAAGAAGCACCGGCUAACUACGUG
rnacentral:rRNA from 1 species